GGGAGGCAGCAGUAAGGAAUCUUGCGCAAUGGGCGAAAGCCUGACGCAGCGACGUCGCGUGACUGAUGAAGUCUUUCGGGAUGUAAAGGUCUUUUCUGGGGGAAGAAGGAUGUGACGGUACCCCAGGAAUAAGCCCCGGCUAACUACGUGCCAGCAGCCGCGGUAAUACGUAGGGGGCGAGCGUUGUCCGAAUUCACUGGGCGUAAAGCGCGCGUAGGCGGGUUUUUAAGUUGUGGGUGAAAUCCCGAGGCUCAACCUCGGAACUGCCUGCAAAACUGGAAGCCUUGAGGUAUGGAGAGGGAAGUGGAAUUCCUGGUGUAGCGGUGAAAUGCGUAGAUAUCAGGAGGAACACCCGUGGCGAAGGCGGCUUCCUGGCCAUAUCCUGACGCUGAGGUGCGAAAGCCAGGGGAGCGAACGGGAUUAGAUACCCCGGUAGU
rnacentral:rRNA from 1 species